rnacentral:pre_miRNA from 1 species
UUAUAAGGAUGAGCAAAGAAAUGGUUUCUUGAGAUGGAAUCUACUCAUGGCGAAGAUGCUGUGAA